rnacentral:tRNA from 1 species
GGGAAGGUGGCUCAGUGGUAGAGUGCUUGCCUUGCAUGCAUGAGGCCCUAGGUUCAAUUCCUCAGUACUA